rnacentral:lncRNA from 13 species
CUUUAUGGAUUGUGUUGGUGCCUACAGUGCCAUCUCUUAGUAUUCUUUUUUUUGUUACCCAGGCUGGAGUUCAAUGGCGCGAUCUUGGCUCACCGCAACCUCCGCCUCCUGGGUUCAGGCAAUUCUCCUACCUCAGCCUCCCGAGUAGCUGGGACUACAGAUUUUUUGAAUGCCUUUGUCAUCUGGUGCAUCAAGGGGAAAAUGCACUUGCUUGAAACUACCUGCUUGAUUUUUUUCAACCUGGAUCUUUGUAUCUCUGAACAGAAUCCACAUUGAAAUAGACAUGAAUUCCUGUUUUAUAUGUUCAAGUGAUACAAGGUGUUUAUGAGGCAAAAUGCAAAUGUCAGAAACACAAGCAACUGGGUUCAAUGUCCCAAGAUUUCAUCCUCCUCUUCCCCUCACAUUCACAUCAAAGCAUCUAGGGACAGGUCAGAGGCUUUGUAGGCUGAUUGAGAAAAAAACAUCAAUUUAAUUGUGUUCAGUACAGCUGAUGACAUUGUAUGAUGAGAAAGACCAUUUGGUGAUGCAUUUUCUUAUCCCACCAAAUUUUUUCAUUUCUUUAGAGCUGGCACAAAGGAAAAAUAAAAUGUGUUUAUGAAUCUAUAAAUACUUUCA